rnacentral:sRNA from 1 species
UCUACGUUCUGAUUGAGAGACUCGACAGU